AAUUCUCAACUUCACCAGUUUCUUAUGAGACUGUGUGAGGCUUGGAUGUGGGGGUUUGUGCAGGCUGCCUCAGCGCGGUCUGCUCCCCUGAAAUGCAUUAGCGAGUUACAACUGGGCUCCGUCUAUUGGUGUGAUAAUUAUCUACGCCGUGGAUUGGGCUUAGACUUGCUUCUAACCGUCCGCAAGGACAAUCUUUUGACA
rnacentral:misc_RNA from 1 species